CCGAAUCGUAGUCCGGAUUGCAGUCUGCAACUCGACUGCAUGAAGUCGGAAUCGCUAGUAAUCGCGGAUCAGCAUGCCGCGGUGAAUACGUUCCCGGGUCUUGUACACACCGCCCGUCAAACAAUGGGAGUGGUGUUUACCAGAAGUCGUUAGCCUAACCGCAAGGAGGGCGGCGACCACGGUGAGCACCGUGACUAAUGUUAAGUCGUAACAAGGUAAC
rnacentral:rRNA from 1 species